rnacentral:tRNA from 1 species
GGGGAUGUAGCUCAGUGAUAGAGGUGCUUGCCUAGUAUGCAUGAGGCCCUGUGUUUGAUCCCCAGCAUCCACA